GGACCACCUGUCGUCACAUCCCAGUCUGACCGUCGGGUUUACUACACAACCUAUACAACAAGUCUUACUCUCUACUGUAGUGCGGACGGCUCCUUCCCCCUCAUAUUUGUAUGGGAGCAUUAUGGAGGUGUUAUUCAGAAUCACACAGUGUAUAAUAGUGUGUCAAAUUUAACACUUAGACCUCACGACGACUGGAUCGAAGGAAUGUACACUUGCAUUGUGGGAAACAAGUAUGGCCGAGCAUUGAGUGACAAUAUGGAGGUGACCGAAAUGAUGAUAUACCCAAUAACCACCCCGACUAUUAACGUGACAUACAGUCCGCAAGUGAACAUGCCAUUUACAUUAUAUUGUGAUCAAUCACACAGCCACAGCGAAAUGACACCGGAAAUACACUGGGUCAAGGUCACAACAACGACAAACCUACCACGCCGGGUACAAUAUAAUAACCGAAUCACAUACGACACUGAUGGUAAUCUACACUUUUUGUACAUCGAUACGUCAGACCGAGGAGAAUACAGGUGUAACGUAACUCAUCCAUUCAUCCAGAAUUAUACACUUGGAACAAUCAUCAUUCUGG